AUCCAUUAGCUUCUGAUGAUUUGGAAUUGCUGCACUAUUUAUUAAUUUGGCUUGUAAUUUUCUGUCAUGGUAUGGGAAUUGGGAAAAUUAAAUUUUCAGCCUUCCCCUCUUGGAUGAUAGCAGUCUCCUUAUUGGUGUAAUCUUUUAAGAAAAGGGUCAAAGACUCGAAGGACUUUUUGGUUUUCAUUAUCAUCCCGUUAUGAGAUAUAACAUUCAAUUCUUUCCUAAGUCCUGUGUUGUUUCUCCAUCUUCACUUCAUUGGGUGGUAACUCUAGAAGAGUCUCUAUCUCUUCGUCUCUACCCAUCCACCUUUCUCUUACUUGAGUUUCUUUGAUCCAUGUUCUAAUAAAGUACGGUUACUGAGAGAUGCGUAUUAUUUAAUCUUAUGGACUUAAAUAUGUUCUUAGUAGUGUAAACUUUUUAGGGCAGGGGCAAAGACUGAAUAAAAAGCUGACUUGUUGGUCCCAUUGAUCCUGGGCUGCAGCGGGUUUCGAUUCUUUGAUUCCGUUUUUAGGCUAUUAUUCUUGAUUGACGUUGAACACUUUAUCAAGUUCUUCAUAUGCAGGUUUUCUGUUAAAGAAAAGCGCGAAAACUAAUGGAUGGAGCUGGCGAUGGUUUGUUUUGAAUGAGAAGACAGGAAAGCUUGGCUAAACUAGAAAGCAAGAGGAAAGACUUUUUCGCGGUGUCAUUACUUUUGAGGAAUGUAAGGUUGAAGAAGCUUCAGAUGAUGAUGAAGUGCCAUCAAAAAGUUCGAAGGACAAGAAAGCUAAUGGGUCAGAGAAAGCACCUGGCCUUGUGUUGAAGAUAACCAGCAAGGUUCCUUCCUUAUAAAACCGUUCUUAAGGGUAUUUGUUGAUAUUUAUCGGGCAGAUACUUUCGCAUUGAAUUAUGGUUGAACUAUGCAGCAACAGGAAUAAUGUCAAAAGGCUAUAUUUAUGAAUCAGAUUUUAUUUAUGGAUUUA